CGUUUGUUUAUCUGUCUUUAAUUGUAUGAAUACACAUUUGAUGAUAAUAGUUUGUUUUGUUAUAGUUCAAUUUCUCUGUCAGUGAGUUCAUAGAAAGGUUGAUUCACAUUAACAUUAACAUAUUUAAUGGAAUGACACCAUCAGUAUGUUUUUAAGCUAAUGCUUUCGGAUGCCAACUUGUGACGCUCUUUCCCUCCCCCUCCUCCAUUCCAUGGCCGCUAGCUCCUGCACUGAUCCCUUCCCCCCUGCCAACACCAUGCCCGUCUCAUACACAAAACGCUCUAUAGCCAUAAACCAUAAAAUCUUCUACAUUUCAAUUGGUUACUCCCAUAAAGGAAACAGAGCCUGGAUUAUGCCUCCUUCUCCAUAUCUGUUGGACCUCCCUAACAUGUCUCUUAUCCAUAUUUGAAACUCUUGUGGCCACCCUUGCGCCUACAAACUCUUCAUGGAGAAGCGAAGUGCAAUUACUUCCUUUGGAUUGAAGAGUUUUGUAUCAAAAAAGUAUAGUAUGCAGAUGCCACGAAACGAAACAACAAUGGAGGAAGAUUGCCCAACACGAUACCAGCUGGAAACGACAAAAAAGGAUGGCUUUUCUUCUUGUCCCUCAUAUUGGACUUCUCUGGACGGGGCCUCAGACUUGCUCCAUCCUCACCAACAUAUUAUAAAGAGCGACAACUGAAGGGCACCACCUCCAUCUAAUCCUCCUUCACGUGCCCCUUUAUUUUCCUUACUUACUUCAAGCCUCAUUAACACUAAUAGGCCACCCACCCACUCUCCUGCCUGAGCAACCAAUCCCCUUUCUGAACUGUAGUCUUUUUUAAUUGGGAAAAAAUAAUUAUUAUUCAAGAGAGAUCCUUUCAUCACAGGUGGUACCUCAUCAGAGUGGCUAUUCAGGAUUCCCUUUGGUCCCGCUCUCAAUCCCAUACAACUGGUAAAAGUCCUUCAUUGUGGGGAUGUAAAGCCCAUCAACACCCUAUGUUCACCUGACAACUGGUGAAGGAGCUUCAAAUCAAAUUGAGGAGAAACCCAUUGGACUUUCUUUCAGCUGAGCUUGUAAUCCCUUCUUCCAUCGCCAGGAAAGAUCAAAUUGCUGGCGUUCAUGGCCCAUACCAAAGCAAUUCGAGGGCCCCUCUGGAAGAUUCAAAUUUCUCUGAUGAAAAGGACAAAAAGGAAAAUUGGUGAUAAAGGACAACUCCUCAGACCUGGUACAUCCUGCAGCUUCCUACACUUCCAUUCAUUGUCCUUUUGCUCAGAGAUUUUGAUCAUUCUUGCUCACAGCUUCCGAUGGUCAGCAACCCUAUCAGUCAAUAUUCCAGUUUUUUUUAUCUAUCAUCUUCAUUGGGCAUCCCUCCAAGAGUGAGAAGCAAACCCUCUGGCUAAACCUUGCUAGAACUUUUAUCUGGACCAAAUCUUCUUAUGAUACUUUUUUUUAGCACUAUUCUCCUAGUGGCUCUGUCUUAGUGUUAUCUCAUGCCACAAGGAGGGAUAAGAUUUAGAUUAUUUAUUCAUCAGUUCUUCUGCUUUAGUUUGAGGUGAUUCACUGGGUGGUUGUUUCUUCUUUCCCUUUUUUUAAUUCUUAAUUCUUUGUUCUUUAUUUUAUUUUAAUAAUUAGAAAGGCAACAUUUCCUUGAGCAAAUGAACUGAGGAAAGCAGCAAACCUACAAAAAUUCAAUCAACGCUUCAAGAUCUCUUUU